AAGACCGAGCGAAGAUUACGCCUCAUCAGUCAUCACCCUCUCAACGCGCGACUCACUCGCGUCGUCGUCCCCUUCCGCCGCCGGCGCGCACUGAACGAGAGGCGAGGUCUUCCCCACCGCUGGAGCUUCCCCAUCCACCGCGGCCGGCCGCAGGCGGAGACGACGUCGUCCCCAUCCGUCGCCCGGAGCCGACGUCGUCCCCAACCGCCGCCGCCGGAGACAAGGUCUUCCCGAUGCGCCGCCGCCGCCGCAGUCCACCGCUGCCCAUGAGGUCGUUCCUUUCCGCCGCCGCCGCCGCCGUCACCGCGCACUGAACCGGAGGCGAGGUCUUCCCCAGCCCCUGUCUUCAUCGUGCGCAUCCUUGCCGUGCGCCAUGUUUAGUUGUCUUCACCCUCGACGCCUCGGAGCCGGACUCCCGCUGCCCACCACCACACCACCGGACAACCUUUAUCCCUGCCGCCCUCCUCUCCAUCGUGUGCUUGCCUUCUUUGUUAUCUACACGCCCGAGGAGAGAGGAUUCCUACCACGUCUUUCUGUUGUGCCAGUAUCCUCAUCGAUGAAUGAUUUUACCACAGCAGCAAAGCGGUUGCCAUCUGCUGGUAUUAUCCCAGGUUUGCUUUUCCGUCUCCUCUCCUUCUCAAUUCCUUUAUGUGCCCUUGUUCAGAUUGCAUUUACUUUCUCUUUCUCCUUUCUGCUAUCAAAUAGGAUCAAUGAAUUGUUCCGUGAAUGCUAAUUAUAUUAUGAGAAUUUUUCCCCGCCAAAAAAUAAACGAAUGAAAUCUGUAGAAAUAUGCUAUAUAUUAAUCUUGAAUUUGUGAGAAUGUCAACAUUCAACCUUUCGACUAUGACCCUAUGUCACACUGAUUCAUUGUCAUAUCUGUUGAUUUCCAAAUUUGCUUAAUCGAUACAUGUUAAAAUGCAAUUCCAAUAUAUAUGAAAAAUAACAAAAUUGAUAAAAUGUUUGAUUAUGCUCUGGAAAUUAUACAAAAUGAAAAGCUCAAUCUAUAUGUAAAUCAUUGAUUCUGGGUACUUAUUCAACUACAAAAGGCAUUGCCCCAGAUCCCAACUUUCAUAACUUUAUUAGUUUGUCAUUUUUGUUUUUGAUCCUUGCACAUGAUGACAGUACCUCUGAGGUAUUGUUUCACUUUCACCCUAAAUUUACAUGAAAAAUCCUAAAUGCAAUUUGUUUUACCUAUGUAAAUGAUGCAAGAUGCAAGUGUAGGAGCUGAAAAUUUCUCUUUCAGGGACCAAGAAGAAUACAAACUUAACAGUUAGUUAUAAUCAUAAGAUUAUAUAUUGUGUUUCAUUUUAUUAUCAUUAAACUGAUCCACAUGAUGUUCAAGUGAUUACAGAAAUGCAUAGAUUUUUUUAAAAGUUGGGUUUGAUAGAUGUGUAGAAUUCCAUGCCGCCAUCAGUGAUGCCUCGCAAGCAAGCCACAAUGUCUGCACCUAGGCCUUCAGCGGCUCCAGCUACUGCGUGCUGCAGAUGGUACCCUUCCAUUACAGUGAGGGGGUCUUCCAGAUUAGCUAUCACGGUGGUUCCUUGGUGUGCCCAUGGGCAUCUCACCAACUGUUUGAUGAAAUGCAUGGUCGAGGUGCACUCCUGUUACUGUUUGAAUCCUUAUUAUUAUCUCAUAUUUACUCUAUUUUGCACUGUAUGUUGUGAUUGAAAGCUCUGCCUAUGUAAACUAAAACUGAAUUGUUCCUUGGUCUCCAAUACUUCAUAUGUUGCAGGCAAAUAUUUCAUUUCUGCAGGGUAGAACACCAUAUUAUUUUAGUGUAUAGAUUUUACUAUGAGAUCCUUGACUUUUUAAUGACUAUUGGAGUCAUGUCAGUAUGUUAAUAGUGAUAUAGAUAUGUUAACCUGUCCAAUUUUACCUUAUAUUCCCAACACAAUAGCUUUGUUUCUUGACUGAGAUUUAUUUGUCUCAUGUUUCUACUGCAUUCAAAAGUUUGCAGAUCAAUUCAUAUUUCAUAAUCAAUCAGCAAACCUGGACAUUGUUUCAAGGGACAUGUGGACUUGGCUACAGUAUAUCUAUUUGCUUGAUCUUUAGUUGCAUGUAGACUCCUUUUGAGAUUUAUUUAUUUUAACCCACAAAAAAGGAGAUUAUUUAUUUUAAGAUAUGUCCCUUUAUUGUUCAACUGCAACUAAUUUGGAAGUUCAUAGAUAAUGAGAUGUAACAGAUGGGCCAUUAAAAACUCUCUGAGUCCGUUCUAUGAAAUGUAAAGUAAGAUGCCAUGCCCUUCCCAGUAUUACCUUAUUACUGUUAUCUGCCUUCUUUUAUUGAUAAAAAAAAGUCAUGUGAAUCUUGGAGUGGAAUAUUAAAAAACCACUGCAUACAACAUUGCAUUAUCUGGAUGAGUUAUCAUCAAGCAUCAUACUGCUAUUUCUAAUCAGUGUUGCACAUGUAUUUCAUCAAGCUCCUUUGUUACUUUCUGGCUACAUGAAGUGGAGUUACUAAUAUAUUGCUCUAUGAAGUGAAAGUUUCUUCUUGCUCAAAAAACUACUCCUAUAAUAAAAUGGCUAAAUAUGCCAAUUUUCUACCACUACUGAAUCUGAAGUUCAACUGAUGUGCUUCAUUCCCAUGUUAGCCUUGAUAUGGUCAGCCACCAGUAUUAAUAUUAACAAAUUUCCUGUCAUAUUUGAGAGAACUGAAACCGCUUCUUUGAAAUGGGAUCUAAUUGUUGAAAUAUGUUUUUUUUUUCAUGUUUGUGCAUGAUUGGAGUAUCUCUUUUUUUUCGGCUGUACUGAAAUUUGGUUUGUGAUUAACCUGUGAAAGUAUCUGUUUGCACUGCUCGAUAUCCUUUAUUUUGAAAGCGACAUCCCGAGGAGGAAGGCUCUUGUGCUAAAGAAAAUCUUUAGUUCCUCUCCUUCCAAAUUUUUUGGUUCUUCUUUUUGUUUUGAUUAAUGAAAGCAGAAAUUCUUGAACUGAAGGAAAAACAGGUAGCUCUACUGUGUUUAUGGUCUUUCCUGUCGAAGUAGGAAUUCAUAGGUGUGUGGCAAUGCUCAGCGAUUGCACAAGUGAAGGGGAUGCAAUUAGACUUGGAAAUGGAGUUAGAAGGCUUAAAGAAUGGACGAAGGCAUAUAUCCUCUUCAAAGAAUGAGGUCUCAAGGGAUUUGGUUGUCAAUGUAAAAUCACAGAUGAAACAAUCUUUGUUGGUGGCUGCCCGGGGUUGCCAAGCGGUGUCUCCACCUCUGACUCCAUUCAUGUAAUCAUGUUCAUGGUCUGCUCCAUUGAGUUUAUUUUUACUGGAUGCACAUCCUUCCAUUAGUAGUUCUUGCAAGAAACUGAAAUAAGUAACAGUCGUAUAGCAUUAUGCUGCCAGUAUCUUCAGUAAAGAAUGUAUUGUCAUUUGCUUACCUCUUUUGUGUUUUCUUCUUCUGAUGCUUAGAGACACAAAAACAAGCGUGUACAAACGAUGGAAAGAGAAUAAACUGUAAUUAGUGAUCAAGAUUGCACCGCUCAUCUUUUGCCACAAACACUGCAAGAGAGAUUGAUUUACAUAUAGUGAAUGAAUCAAUUCUACA